GACUGAGGUGCCGAGCGUUAGGCGGAAUCACUGGGCUUAAAGCGUGUGUAGGCGGACGUCUAAGUAUCUUGUGAAAUCCCACGGCUCAACCGUGGAACGGCUUGGUAUACUGGGCGUCUUGAGCCACUUAGGGGUCGUCGGAACAAGCGGUGGAGCGGUGAAAUGCGUAGAUAUCGGGAGGAACACCAGUGGCGAAGGCGACUUCCUGGCCUGUUCUUGACGCUGAGGCGCGAAAGCUAGGGGAGCAAACGGG
rnacentral:rRNA from 1 species